AAAGAAAAGAACGAACCUGUUGAACAAACAAAACUAGGAAAAGAAAAAACGCAGCGCCGUUUGGAGGUGGAAAAUUGAAUUUGAAGGUUUGUUUUUAGGUGUUGGAGUUAUUUUAAGGUGGAAAAUUGAAUAUCAGAACCUGCCCUUUGAUUCUUCAGCUGAAGAUGUUAAAAAACAGUAUCGAAAGAUGUCGUUGAUGGUUCAACCUGACAAAUGUAAACAUCCUCAGACAAAGGAGGCUUUUGCUGGUUCAUGAUUACAAUUUACUAGUUUAGCAGCUAGAGGGUGGGUUAUUUACUUGUAUGCAGCAAUUGUUACUUGAUCAAAAUGAAAGAGAUUACCUUCUUAGCCCAGUUAAUUCGGCGAAAGAAAUUUUGGGACAUAUUUGGGGGAAAAAUGCCUCAACUAGUGAGAUAAAAGAGUCGUCUAUUUUCCACCAAUAUGGCCCGCAGAAGAACUUAGAGCAAAAAGGAAGAAGCAGCUGAAGAAAGAUACAGCUCCAAAAAUUAAGUCUUUGGUUGAAGAGAUAUCAGAGGAGGAAGGCAGAUUAAGAAGGGAUGAAGAGGAACAAAAAGAAUUGUGGAAGGAACGAGAGCAGACGAUUAGUUUUCUAUGAUUUCUCUUAUGACCUUCAUGUAUUCAUCAUCAACCAGCAGCUCAGCAAGUGAUCAUUGACUUGAAAGGAAUCUUAAUUUAUUUUAUUUUUUUUAAUAAUUUGUGCCUGCAAACUGAUUUCUAUAAUAAUGACAUUAAAGCCACUGUGGCAUGACAGCAUAUCAGUUGAUACUAGUAAGAGUCUACGUGUGCGCGUGCCCCCGCAUUAUAAAAGCGAGAUGUUUGAACAGAGGAUGAACCACUGAUAAAUUAACACCGAUAAUUUCAUUAUCAGGACACGUAUCCAGUAAUUUUAUGAAGGGUGGAAAGAAGAAUAAGAAAGCAGAAGCCACCUAAGCUUAAGACAGAAAUCCCAACAAAUCCUAUUUUCAGAGGCCUGUAAAGAGAGGUUAGGUUCUGCCAUUUGUUUUGACUUUUGAAGGAUUUUCCAUAGGCAAUCGAUAGUAGUAAAAGGGAACUUGUGCAGGCUAUUGCUGCUUCUACUUGAUACUUGUAACUGCAUAUUUUUGGGUUGUGUUGUGGGAAGCAUCUCGAGUGGAAUGUAGUUCAUGUAGACCUCCUCAAAGGAGUGAAAUCUCAUUUUAGGAUAUUACAUCUUAACAGAUAAGAAUUUUAAGCUCUAUACCACUUUUUAGUGAACUGGUGUAUUUCAUGGCCAAGGGUCAAACUUAAUUUUGUUAUUCUAAGAUCUAUUUAAGAGACUGAAUUUUUGU